rnacentral:rRNA from 1 species
UACGGAGGGUGCGAGCGUUGUCCGGAUUUAUUGGGUUUAAAGGGUGCGUAGGCGGCUUGUUAAGUCCGGGGUGAAAGCCCACAGCUCAACUGUGGAACUGCCCUGGAUACUGGCAAGCUUGAGUCCAGACGAGGUUGGCGGAAUGGAUGCUGUAGCGGUGAAAUGCAUAGAUAGCAUCCAGAACCCCGAUUGCGAAGGCAGCUGACUAGGCUGGCACUGACGCUGAGGCACGAAAGCGUGGGGAGCGAACAGGAUUAGAUACCCUAGUAGUCC